CUGCGAGUGAAGCGGGAAAAGCUCAAAUUUAAAAUCUGGCGGUCUUUGGCUGCCCGAGUUGUAAUCUAGAGAAGUGUUAUCCGCGCUGGACCGUGUACAAGUCUCCUGGAAUGGAGCGUCAUAGAGGGUGAGAAUCCCGUCUUUGACACGGAGCUCCCAGGGCUUUUGUGAUGCGCUCUCAAAGAGUCGAGUUGUUUGGGAAUGCAGCUCAAAAUGGGUGGUAAAUUCCAUCUAAAGCUAAAUAUUGGCGAGAGACCGAUAGCGAACAAGUACCGUGAGGGAAAGAUGAAAAGAACUUUGGAAAGAGAGUUAAACAGUGCGUGAAAUUGCUGAAAGGGAAACGCUUGAAGUCAGUCGCGUUGUCCAGGGAUCAACCUUGCUUUUGCUUGGUGCACUUUCUGGUUAACGGGUCAGCAUCAAUUUUGACCAUUGGAAAAAGAUUAGGGGAAUGUGACAUCUUUGGAUGUGUUAUAGCCCUUGGUUGCAUACAAUGGUUGGGAUUGAGGAACUCAGCACGCCCUCAGGGGUCGGACCUUUAUUUAGGUCACGUACGUGCUUAGGAUGCUGGCAUAAUGGCUUUAAUCGACCCGUCUUGAAACACGGACCAAGGAGUCUAACAUGCCUGCGAGUGUUUGGGUGGAAAACUCGAGCGCGUAAUGAAAGUGAAAAGUUGAGAUCCCUGUCAUGGGGAGCAUCGACGCCCGGACCAGACCUUUUGUGACGGUUCUGCGGUAGAGCAUGUAUGUUGGGACCCGAAAGAUGGU
rnacentral:rRNA from 1 species